rnacentral:piRNA from 1 species
UGUUUGAGUCUAUAACCUUCGAUAAGCCC